rnacentral:rRNA from 1 species
CAUGUAGGCGGUCUGUCAAGUCUGAUGUGAAAGCCCGGGGCUCAACCCCGGAAGUGCAUUGGAAACUGCCAGACUUGAGUACGGGAGAGGAAAGUGGAAUUUCGAGUGUAGGGGUGAAAUCCGUAGAUAUUCGAAGGAACACCAGUGGCGAAGGCGGCUUUCUGGACCGAUACUGACGCUGAGAUGCGAAAGCGUGGGGAGCAAACAGGAUUAGAUACCCUGGUAGUCC